ensembl:lncRNA
AUCGCACAUACGCCUUUUAAAUCACCGAAUAACUAUAAGACGGAUCUUAUAGAUUAAUCUAUAUAGUUUAAUGCUUUAAAAGCACACUUGGCUUGAAGUUUUAUUAUUAAUAAAACUGAUGGCAGAUUAUGAACACUGAGCUUGUGAGUUCAUGUAUGUGGGUAAUGAAAAAUGGUCAAAUAAUUAACUUUGAACAAAGCACACCAUUAAUGGAAGGCAAAAAGUGAUUAGGCAUAGAGCUGGGCAAUAUACUUGAGGACAUUUCUACGGACACACGAUGCGCAUCACAAUAUCCAAUUUAGCUAACAAACUGUCUCCAAAACAGUAGUAAAAUCAAAUACUUUUUUUUUUAUUUUUUAAAACUGUUAAACCGAGUUUGACUUUUCUUUAAUGCCUACAAAGACAAAGAAGGUUUUUUUUUUAAUGACGUCCAAAUCAAAAGCAUCCAUUCAGUACCAUUUAAUUUGUAAAAUGUAAAAAUACAAUAUCUCAGAAAAGUGUAUCGUGAUAUUAUUUAACAUGCUGGAUACCAUAUGAAUAUAUCGGCCAGCCCUAACUAACCAUGUUAAAAUGUGAUUAAAAUUGUGUUGACCUACAUUAUGAGAAACUUUCCUUCAAGAAACAUGGGUUGCUUCUAACGGACUACUGCAGUACAAAUUGCCAUUAUCUCAUUACGCAAACAUUUAGGUGAAAUUUUUCUAAAAUACUGAAAUACAUUUUUUAUUUUAUUUCUCCAAAUCAAGUAAGCACAGCAUCAAGUAAGCUACUUCAAACCACAUAAAAGUUAGCUAAUUAAAUAAAAUGUUAGAUUUGUUAUGUUUUAAUACUCUAAUACUUCAGUUAACGUCUAGAGUUAUUUAACAUGUUCAUGUUAAGUAAGGACCAAAGCACAGCAAGGCAUGCUGUUAAGGAAAAUAUUCAACAAUAUUUAGGAAAAUAUUCCACUUUUUCCCAUUAUACAACAGCAAUUUGCCGACGACUGCAGCUUUUAUUUAUUAAAGAACGAUUUUAUCCAUUUAUGUUCACACUGAAUGUUGUGGAACAUCUACGAAACAAGUUCAUUUCUGUUAUCUCAUGCUGUAGCCUCUAUAAACUCAAAUUUGGUUCUCUUUGAUGGUAGACUACAAUUAAGAAAAAUAAUGGAAUGUUGUAACGUUUUGUGUUUUUCGUUGUUGUUUUUUUUCUACAUACUUAUUAUAUAAAAUCAAAUUUGAUCAAAAAUGUCCAUCCAUCCAUCCAUCCAUCCAUCCAUCCAUCCAUCCAUCCAUCCAACCAUCCAUCCAUUUUCCACACAGGUUUGCAGGGGAGUCUGGAGCCUAUCCCAUGAAACUUGGAGAGCAAUUAGAGGGACACCCUGGAUGGGGUGCCAAACAAUCACAGGGCACAACUGCACAGACACUCACACACCCAUUCACACAUUAUAGACAAUUUGGAAAUGCCAAUCAGACUACAGCACGUCUUUGGACUGAGGGAGGAAAACGGAGUACUUGGAGGAAAUACCACAUGCACGAGGAGAACAUGCAAAAUCCACGACGGGAUUCAAUCCACCAAUCCCAGAGGGCCAAAGCAAACAUGCUAACCACUAAGGCACUGUGACCCCCUGACCAAAAAGGUAUUUCAUCAAAUCAGAAGCAAAUUUGACACAAAAAUGAAAACGUUCAAAUAUAAGAGUAGUGCAGAUUCUGACAUUUAGACAGCAAGGAAUCAGUUACCACCGACAUGCAGGAAGAAAUCCCACUUAAGUGUUCUUAUUCUGAAGCAGUAAAUGGGUAUAGAAACUGGAACUUAUUCUGUGUAUGACAGUCAGAGUUUAACUGGUCAGGCUUAAGGUUCUGCUUCAAGCUCCAUCUGUUCUGAGGAAUCAGACCCCUUGCUGAUAGAAUUAACGAGGAGUCGGUCUCAUCGCACACAGCAGGGGAGAGCGCUCUCAUCUCUCCUUUCACCUCUUCCAUCCUUGCUUUACCUCUCUUGUUUCUUUUCUAACUAAGAGAUGUGGGUGCAUUACAGGCAGCUGUCAUUCUCAGAGAACACACCUCAGGGGAAACAGGAAAAGCAGAAGAGAAGGUGGGAGAAGCAGAGAGACUUUGCCAGCGGCCCAGUUAGAGCUAGAUGUCACAUCAGAGAAAGAAAGAGUGAGCCAUUCUUGAUGUGUACCAAUUUGCACACGGUUGCCCAACAGCCUCUUACAAAAUGUGGUCUGAAUCCCAAACCACUUGGAGACCUCAGAGUCGAAA